rnacentral:lncRNA from 10 species
UAGAGAUGGAGUUUCUCCAUGUUGGUCAGGCUGGUCUUGAACUCCCGACCUUAGGUGAUCUGCCUGCCUUGGUCUCCAAAGUGCUGGGAUUACAGGCGUGAGCCACCGUGCCCGGCCACUGAGAGAGUUAAGUGUUAUCAUAAGUAAGUAUGUAAGGUAAUACAUAUGUUAAUCAGCUUGAUUUAGCCAUUCCACAAUGUAUACAUGUUUCAAGACACUAUGUUGUACAUGAUAAAUAUAUAAAUUUUUUAUUUGUCGGUUAAAAAAACGGAACCCAGAACUAGCAAACUAAUAUGCAGUAUGGAGCCACUCUUACAGUCCUUUCUCUAGCUUUUCCUUUUUUCUUUCCUUAAUAUCUGUAAUAAGCUGAUGCUAAAGGACUAAGCCAACAACUCAUUUGAAUCCUAGGCAAAAUACUGGAGCACUAAUGCCCAUGAGAUUGAAGGCACAGUGUUUGACAGGAGUGGAAAAGCGGUUCAUCGGCUGUUUGGGAAAUGGCAUGAAAGCAUCUACUGUGGCGGCGGCUCCUCUUCUGCCUGUGUAUGGAGAGCAAAUCCUAUGCCGAAAGGCUACGAGCAAUACUAUAGCUUCACACAGUUUGCGCUGGAAUUAAAUGAAAUGGAUCCAUCAUCAAAG